GAUGAAGAAGGCAGCGAAAUGCGAUAAGUAAUGUGAAUUGCAGAAUUCAGUGAAUCAUCGAAUCUUUGAACGCACAUUGCGCCCCUUGGUAUUCCGAGGGGCAUGCCUGUUCGAGCGUCAUUACACCACUCAAGCUAUGCUUGGUAUUGGGCGUCGUCCUUAGUUGGGCGCGCCUUAAAGACCUCGGCGAGGCCACUCCGGCUUUAGGCGUAGUAGAAUUUAUUCGAACGUCUGUCAAAGGAGAGGAACUCUGCCGACUGAAACCUUUAUUUUUCUAGGUUGACCUCGGAUCAGGUAGGGAUACCCGCUGAACUUAAGCAUAUCAAUAAGCGGAGGA
rnacentral:misc_RNA from 1 species